rnacentral:rRNA from 1 species
UAGGGAAUCUUCCACAAUGGACGCAAGUCUGAUGGAGCAACGCCGCGUGAGUGAAGAAGGUUUUCGGAUCGUAAAGCUCUGUUGUUGGUGAAGAAGGAUAGAGGCAGUAACUGGUCUUUAUUUGACGGUAAUCAACCAGAAAGUCACGGCUAACUACGUGCCAGCAGCCGCGGUAAUACGUAGGUGGCAAGCGUUGUCCGGAUUUAUUGGGCGUAAAGCGAGCGCAGGCGGAAUGAUAAGUCUGAUGUGAAAGCCCACGGCUCAACCGUGGAACUGCAUCGGAAACUGUCAUUCUUGAGUGCAGAAGAGGAGAGUGGAACUCCAUGUGUAGCGGUGGAAUGCGUAGAUAUAUGGAAGAACACCAGUGGCGAAGGCGGCUCUCUGGUCUGCAACUGACGCUGAGGCUCGAAAGCAUGGGUAGCGAACAGGAUUAGAUACCCUGGUAGUCCAUGCCGUAAACGAUGAGCGCUAGGUGUUGGGGACUUUCCGGUCCUCAGUGCCGCAGCAAACGCAUUAAGCGCUCCGCCUGGGGAGUACGACCGCAAGGUUGAAACUCU